GCUUUAAACAAUAAUGAUUUAAUUCUACAUAUACUCUCUGGUUUGGGACCAGAAUAUAAUUCUGUAGCCACUUAUAUCACUGGACAAGUAGGUGUUGGAAAGAUGAAUGUUAAUGAGGCUAAUGCCAUGCUUUUAAC
rfam:Citrus clementina cultivar Clemenules unplaced genomic scaffold scaffold_3, whole genome shotgun sequence.